rnacentral:tRNA from 2 species
CGGCCCAGCUGAGGGUGGGCUCGGUCGGCUCGGGGCCGGCCGGCGGGAACGCGGCGGGGUCCACGCCGUUGUAGACGGUGCGGAUCGAC